UAUUCCGGACUACGCCGAGCUAUCCGAAUAAAAUAAAAACGCCAGAACGAGAAAACGCCGGAACGACCAGCCUGCGCCCUGCGCCGUCCGCCGUCGCUCCUCGCCGUCCGCCGGCCGCGCCCUGCGUCGCCCGCUUUCUUCCCUCCUCGUCGCCCGGCGUUCCCGCACGGCUAGCCGAUCUCCUCUCCGCGCCGAUCUCCUCCCCCCAUCCCUCGCUCUGCGCCGUCCGCC
rnacentral:lncRNA from 1 species